rnacentral:miRNA from 1 species
UACUUAGCCUCUUUGACAAUCUUG